GCCCAGCCCCGAGCCUCCGCCGCCCACCACGCCGGCCGAGCGGAAGGAGGGCUCGGAGAGUCCGGGCGCGAACGCGGGCGUGAAGUGGAGCCUGCGCUCCAUCAUGAACAAGGACCCGGCCGGCACGCCCGUCUCGUCCAUCUUCGAGGACACGCCGGCGCGCAAGCUGUCGCCGCACGAGUUCCCCAACAGCAGCGAGCCGGCCGGGCCGAGCAGCGCCGAGACGCUGGAUCUGAACGGGCACGGCGACGACAUCUCGAUCGAGGAGCUCGUCUCGCAGGUGGAAAAAUGCGACUCCAUC